AUAGAGAGAGAGUGAACUCAAAAAUCAGUGUUUCCUAUGUCAGUAACACUCUGUCAGUCUGAGAGUGAGUGUGCGUGCGAGUGCGUGAGAGCGUGUGCUUGUGAGAGCGAGAGAAUGCAGGACUUUUCCUCAUAGGCUGUUGCACCCUUGACCCCUUCUCCUCUCUUGGGGUUGCCUUGCUUGGAGAUCUAGAUGGUUUUGGGUGAAGAAAGAACAGCUUGAUUGAUGUAUUAUCAACACAGACUCACUCUGACGUGAAAUGAGGACCCCCGUCCCCCUCCGCACCUCUCCUCCUACGGCCAGCAUUGAAACGGCCCACUUCCUCCGCCUGGCUGUGACGAAGCCAUCUGAGAGAGAGAAAAAGACAUUAUGUCAAGGAGAGGGAGAUGAAAGGAUAUGGAGAGAAAAAAAGAUGACAUGCCCCUCCCAGUCCUUGUUUUAAGUGGCAGGCCAGAGAAAAACUGACAUAUGGAGGAACCUGAAGAGAGCUUACGAACAUCCUCUAGAGAUAAUGGGGAGUGAAUGUAAAGAUGGAGUGUUGUGGGUUUUUGGGGGGAGAAAUGAUUGAACAAGAGAGAUAUUUUAUGAAGAGCGACUAUAUGAACGAACUGGCUGAUUAUUUUGAUAUUUUGAUAAGAUAGCAAGUUUUUGAACAUUUGAGUAUGGACUCCUGCCUUUUGAAGGACCUUUUUUAAUUUGUCAAGUUUGAUUUGUUUGUUCCAUAAAAGGUUUUUUUAUUUUUUAUUUUUUUUUGUUCUUCCUUUUUGCUUAUUGCGUAGAUCAUACCUCUUUAAGAUUGUGCUGAAAAGGUCAGGGCUGUACGGUGACCCCAUAACACACUCGCUCUCUCUCUCUCUCUCUCACACACACACACACACACACAGAAAGACUUAAAGCUAAAAUUAUCACCACACCCUCUUUCUACACACAGGUUCACACUUUCAUUUUGUAUAGCCUGCUAUUAUUUGUAAAUUUCAUUAUUAGUUACCCACACACACAUCCAAAUAUAUCCCUUACAGCCACCCGCAAACUGGCACCAUUUAACUUAAAGAUCCGUAUUGACUGUUUAUGCUGCCCUUUAAUACUGGUAAUGGACUGUGAAGAGACUAUGGCAGAGAACUGGGGUUGUCUGUUUUGUUUUGUGUGUUUCGAGGGCAGUAUUUGUGUUAAUCUGUGUCUGAGAACCAGGUCUUACUGUGUUAAUCGUUGUCAAAGGGAUGAGGUGUUUGUCUUAGGCCUGUAUGCGUUUAGCUAGUGUUUACCUCUAUUUCUCACCCUGCCUUUCUUACUCAAAAGUAUUCAGUCGUGCUGGCUAAAAUGAAUUCUCGUUGUCUCUUACAAUUCAUAAACAUAUUCUAGACUUAAACAGUAUGAGGUGGGUUGGGGUCACUUUGGGGGACACAACGCUGGCCAAGCAUCUGUCGUUAUGAUUACUGGAUUGAUUCCUUUUUAAUUUUUAUUUUCAAUGUUUUCUUUUUCUAUUAAAACAUGAGACACAG